rnacentral:misc_RNA from 1 species
UCACUACUUGCGUAGGCAGUUAGUUUAGAGUUCCCGGCAUUAUCCGCUGGCAACUAAACUCAGGGGUUGCGCUCGUUGCUGGACUUAACCAAACACCUCACGGCACGAGCUGACGACAGCCAUGCAGCACCUGUACCGCCCCCCUUGCGGGUAGCCCACUUUCAUGGGUUUAGACGGCCUUUCAAGCCUAGGUAAGGUUCUUCGCGUUGCAUCGAAUUGAACCACAUGCUCCACUGCUUGUGCGGGCCCCCGUCAAUUCCUUUGAGUUUCAACCUUGCGAUUGUACUUCCCAGGUGGAAUACUUAAUGCGUUAGCUUGGAUACUGAUCUUAAAAAAGACCAACAUCUAGUAUUCAUCGUUUAGGGUGUGGACUAC